GCGCCAACGCACUCACCGGGCGGGCAGGCCGAGUUGCUCGCGCAUGGCUUCCAGCGUCCCUCCAUGAUGGCGCGCCGGCGCGCGACUUUCUCGCCAAACUCAGCGAACUCCGGAGUGUCGCUCAGUGAUUCCAGGAGGGGAGAAUCUUCGAUCGCCACGGCAGCGUCGCGAUGGCCAUAACCGCUUAUCUGCGUGGCAUCUCGGCGCUUCGCACAGCGAAGCGGCUACACACACGUCCGUGCAGCUCCGCGUCGGUGUCAGCGCACCUCCUCACCCGACGGAA
rnacentral:misc_RNA from 1 species